rnacentral:rRNA from 1 species
CGAAAGCCUGACGGAGCAAUACCGCGUGAGGGAGGAAGGCUUUUGGGCUGUAAACCUCUUUUCUCAAGGAAGAAGAUCUGACGGUACUUGAGGAAUAAGCCACGGCUAAUUCCGUGCCAGCAGCCGCGGUAAUACGGGAGUGGCAAGCGUUAUCCGGAAUUAUUGGGCGUAAAGCGUCCGCAGGCGGCCUUUCAAGUCUGCUGUCAAAGCGUGGAGCUUAACUCCAUUUCGGCAGUGGAAACGGAUGGGCUUGAGUGUGGUAGGGGCAGAGGGAAUUCCCGGUGUAGCGGUGAAAUGCGUAGAUAUUGGGAAGAACACCAGUGGCGAAGGCGCUCAACUGGGCCGUAACUGACACUCAGGGACGAAAGCUAGGGGAGCG